GAGGAGUGGAGAUCUGAGGGACAGGAAUCUAGUGAGCUCCGGUUCUGGGGAACAUACGAGAUGAAAUGUGGAGGAGAGAGAGGACAGAGGGAACAUGCUGAAGAGACAUUCCUGCUGCAUCAAGUGGCCUCGAGGCCUAAACUUCUGUCCCCUCCCUGGAAAAUUCUCAGGCAUGGUUGAGCUCUCUCUUCAUUCCUCGGUUUCCCAGUCCACAACAAGGAAUGACCGCUGACUCAGAGCAAACUCCUUCAAGAAGAAUACAGAGACUAUGAAAAGAAGCCACCUCCAGCUGUCUGACUUUCCCUCUGCUCAUCAAAAUGGAUCUCGCUUGACAUAAACUGAGGCACAGAGGACUCAAGCAAAGCCCAUUUCAGUUUAAUAUAGGAAAGCAGGCUGGGAGGAA